UACGUAGGGUGCAAGCGUUAUCCGGAAUUAUUGGGCGUAAAGAGCUCGUAGGCGGUUUGUCGCGUCUGCUGUGAAAACUGGAGGCUCAACCUCCAGCCUGCAGUGGGUACGGGCAAACUAGAGUGCGGUAGGGGAGAUUGGAAUUCCUGGUGUAGCGGUGGAAUGCGCAGAUAUCAGGAGGAACACCGAUGGCGAAGGCAGAUCUCUGGGCCGUAACUGACGCUCAUGCACGAAAGCGUGGGGAGCAAACAGG
rnacentral:rRNA from 1 species